rnacentral:misc_RNA from 1 species
CGUGAUUCAACCCAUCUGUGUGGCCGCGGCGGCGCCCUUGCAGUAGCAGAACGUUUUUGCGUUCGAUUUUUUUCGACCGACAUGUUUCCAGGCAACAGCACCGCCGGCGUUCCAAUACCUGUGCCAGUGCCGUCGCGACCAGCCCUGGUUGCAGCGGGCCCUUCACUUUCUGUCGCGCCGCCUCGAUCAACGCCGGCCGCGGUCCCGAUCCCCGUUGCUGUUCCCUCUACUGCGCCGGCCACGCUGAGUCCGGCGCCACCAUACGCCCCCGUGGCACAACCUGUCGUUCCUCUCCCCAUCGCCGCCGGUAGCUCUGCAGCCCCGCAGCCGACAGACGCGUCGUUUGCGCCGGCUUUCGCUGUGAGCAUCUCACCUCUGCCGAACACAUCAUCUGCACAGUACGUAGCGCCGGCGGUGAUCCCUCUCGCCUCGGCUUCCUCCUCCGCUGGCGCCUCCCCCUCCCCUCUUCCUGUGCCUCAAAUAUGCCUCUCAUCGUCUGCAGUGCCAGUGGAAGCUACUCGAGCUCCGCCUGCCGUACGACCAGCUCCUUCUAAUCCGCCGUUGCUGCCACAGCCGCGGCUCUCCGGGUCCGAACCCACCCAGCCGGCAAUGCCAGUGCCGACAGCAAGCGCCACAUCGUAUCCGAAACCAUCGCCUGACGCUCCACCAGCGGUAGCGCCUCUUCCUUCGACUCUGAUGUCGUCUGUGCCCUCGCCCGUGGCGCCUGCCAGCCCCGCUGUUGCCAAGAAGGUCACGUUUGCGCUCUCCGGAGGGGCGACGGAGGCUGUUGCGCCAUCACCGCCUGCCGUGCCCAUGUUAGUUCCUAGUGUGCCAGUGGUAUUACCACCCACUGCGGUGCCGCUUGUUGCUCCGUCGGUUCCUGCGUUGCCGUCGCCAGACCUCCCUCUCCUCCGUGCGACAGAGGAGGAGCCACCGAAGGCGGUGGUGCCAGUUGACGAGGCCGCACCCAAGAUGGAACAUGCGGCUUAUCAACGUGUGCCGGACUACAUGAAGUGGCUGUACCCUGCGUUGCUGGAGGGCUCAUCUGCGUGCUCGCCACCACUGGAGUUUCCUUUGGCUGAAGCAACGGCGCCGCACGUUCUCUCCUCUGCCGCGGUGCUGCGCUGGUCGGAGGCGGAGGUGCUUGCGGCUCUGCCGACCACGCUGCCCCCGGAGUACGUAGUUUUUGGCGGAGCGAGGUACAGCGGCGCGUCUCUCAACCUCGUGCGCCCGCCACUCACCGUCACUAGAGGCGCGAAGCGCACGACGCACUUGCACGACGCGAUGGAGGUCCAACGACUUCAGUUUCUCGUCGAUCAACUCGAGGUGGCGAGGCACUACUUGAAGAUUGAGGCGCGGUGCGUAACCAAGGAGCAGCGGUCGUCAUCCUCCCUGACGACGGCAGGCUGCGCCGCGGUGCCCACCGACACCGUGAGUGAUGCCAUUCACAAGCCCGAGGGGGCCGAGGAUGUGACGAAGGCGAAUAUCUGGACUGCCGCGUACUUCGGGUCUCCUCAGCAGCUUGGUUCGGUGAUGGAGAAGCGCAAGUUUGACGGAAUACUAGACAGCGCCGGCUACGUGCACUAUAAACGGCGCCAGUGGGGCUUGAAGCGAGUAGGCGACACGUUUGUGCUCGGGCUUGGAUCGAGAGGCACCCCACUGCAGUUUGCGGCAGCAGCGGGUAAGUUGGACAGCGUUGUACUCCUUCUCGCGAGCGGGGCACGGGAUACAACGUUUCCGCGGCUGAAGGAGAUUCUGUCAGCUGACUCCAUGCAGGUCAUUGAGUCCGUGUUCAAACCCCGUAGCCAUGCGCCACGACAAAACCAUGCACCGACAGCGGAGGCGGCGUUCACGAGCGAAGCAGCGCUGCCCGUCACGACACCCGCUUUUACAAGCGAGCACGUAGUUCGGAUCGAUGAGUGUGGUCGGUCGCCCCUGGUACAGAUAGGUGAUGCUACCACGGCAGCGAUGGCGACGUUCGCAUAGCCGACCAGUAGUCGUUUUGAGGAAGACGGAAAGGGUAAGAAGGCUGGGGUGGGGGCAGGCUUGCAUCGAGCAAGUACAGCCGAAACACCUUCCCCCUCCCCUCUCGAACAACUGCCGUGGCGCUGUUGGUGAGGCCUGUGCCCAACCGGCCGCACUGCUCUGUCGUAUCUUCUGAUGCGACACGCCGUGCAUGCCACUGGUGAUCGCUACUUCUCUUUGGUGCGCCCACGCCGCUGUACUUUUUUGUGCGCUUCUUCUGUUCUCGUAGAUGUUUCUUUGGACCAGAGAAUCCACGCUGUCCACGAAGGACGACGG